rnacentral:rRNA from 1 species
CGAGUCGGGUUGUUUGGGAAUGCAGCUCAAAACGGGUGGUAAAUUUCAUCUAAAGCUAAAUACCGGCCAGAGACCGAUAGCGCACAAGUAGAGUGAUCGAAAGAUGAAAAGCACUUUGGAAAGAGAGUUAAACAGUACGUGAAAUUGUUGAAAGGGAAGCGCUUGCCGCCAGACUUGCCCGCGGGCGAUCAGCCUCCCUUCGGGGCGGUGCACUUCGCCCGCGGUCAGGCCAGCAUCGGUUUUGGCGGGCGGAUAAAGUCCCCAGGAAUGUGGCUCCCCCCGGGGAGUGUUAUAGCCUGGGGUGCAAUGCGCCCAGCCGGGACCGAGGACCGCGCUCCGGCUAGGAUGCUGGCGUAAUGGCGGCAAGCGACCCGUCUUGAAACACGGACCAAGGAGUCUAACAUCUGUGCGAGUGUUUGGGUGUCAACCCCAUGCGCGGAAUGAAAGUGAACGGAGGUGGGAGCCCCCGUCCCGGGGGCGCACCAUCGACCGAUCCUGAUGUCUUCGGAUGGAUUUGAGUAGGAGCACAGCUGUUGGGACCCGAAAGAUGGUGAACUAUGCGUGAAUAGGGUGAAGCCAGAGGAAACUCUGGUGGAGGCUCGCAGCGGUUCUGACGUGCAAAUCGAUCGUC